rnacentral:misc_RNA from 1 species
GGCAUCCGUAACCAAUGAACUUGCCCCAACACUAGGACCUGAGCUUGCUACACUAUUCAAAACUGUAUUACUGACAUCCCCAGAAAGAGGACCCAAGCUUGAGCGUGCGUUUCCAGGUAGUGAAUUUGAUGAAUUCCCAAAAGAUGAAGUCAAGUGAGAAUUUCCCGCAACUUGAGACUGCCCAUCUCCUUGGAAAAAAAUACCAGAACUUGAAGAAGAAUGUGCCAUCCCUCCAGCCACACGAGAAGGCGCCAUUGGAGGCACAAUCCCCUGGUGGCUGGAAUCCAAGUACCUCUCCAGUGCUUACCCCUUGUGUUAUUUCAGGCUCUAGAGCGCAGAACUAAAUUUAAGCCUUUGUAUAUAACCUUCAAAAUUUCAUCAACCAAUCUGGAAACAUCAAAUCAUCCGAUUAUGUUACUAUCCUUGCCAACCAAAUGAAGCACCAGAUCUUUUUGUCCUUG